AGGAACUUUUUCUUUUUUUUUUUUAAUUUUUCUUACAGGCUUCAAUGUGCUGAGCUCCAGACUUUAUCAUGACAGUGGGUUAACCAGGCUCUGAAGGGAUGUCAGCAGCACAUGAGGCCGGGUUAAGGCUUCACCCUGGGAUUAUUGCAUCAGUGAUCUUCGUCUCUGUGGCGGCAGUAGCUGCUGCCGUAUUGAUCAUCCGAAAAUACUGCUUCCCAGUCAACGAGGCGACUUAUAGAUACUCGCUGCUGAGGCGGAUGGAGGAUCAGCAUCCAGUGCCGGCGGAGGAGGAGGAGGAGGAGGAGGACGGUGACGGUGACAGGGGGCCCUGCACAGUGGGAGAGGAGUCAGACGAGGAUCUUUUGGAAUAAAUCGCCAACUGGGAUGCUGCCGGACUCGCUGAGAAGGAGUGUAUUGUAGAUGAAUUGUGUGCUUUGGGGCUGCAAAUAGUUAUCAUGGUUGACACAACAUCAGAAAACAAUUUAAAAACAGAGGUCACUAUUCGGCGAGUCAGGAAAAUGCGACGAGUUGAGAAGCUUUUUGCUAUUUUUGAUUCAACAAUAUACAACAAAAUACUUGCUGAGGAUCAAUUAGUCAACCAGUUGCAGCUCCAGUGUGGUUUGUGUGUCUGGAUUUGCAUUUAUCACCUGGCUUAGACUCUUUCUAGAUGUGUAAUGUCUUUGUGUUUGAUGUGCAGCACUGAUCUUCAUUUGCAUUAUCGUGGUGAUGACACUGAUGAGUUUAGCAUAUGCAACACACGGCAUGCAGUGGUUUUAAAGUGGCAUCAAGCCGCUGAUAAACAUCCACGUUUUGUACUGGUUUCCAUGUCUGUGGGGACGUGCAGGCUACUUCCAGAGCCUCUGGCACAACUCAGAUGUUUUUGUUUUUAAGUCUGCUAAAAUGUGCCACAAUGGAGCACCAGUCAGAUAUCCCAGAUAAGAAUCACAGUAGUAACAGAGCUGAAUGUGAUUGUUGUGAUGUUGUCAGUGUGACUUCCACACAGCAUCUCUGCCUCCUGAAAUUAGACUACAACUAAUUUGAAAAAAUAUGUCAAAUUUCGUAAAUUGCUACCCUCGGUGACAAAUUCAAGGGAAACCCAGCAUUAAGUGUAGUAAGGGCUUCAUUAUGCCAUUGAUUUUAAAAUCCUCUGGAACUGUACUGGAGGGUUGAAGCGUCAUUCUUCCAACAGAUAUCCCCUCGUUUAGCGUUUUGAUGAUGGCCCAAAAUCUCCCAUUGUGUUCGACUGGGUGGAGAUCUGCUCGCCGCGCACCAUUCAAAUCAUUUUUCUGCUCAUCAAACCAUUUGGUGACCCCUUGUGCUCCGUGGGUGCAGUUCAUUGUCAUCCUGGGUAGAAAUGAGAAUAGAAAUAUUUCAUCAUGGAACAAAGGUGAUCACUCAGAACAGCCCUGUAUUGAUUUGCAGUGACCCUUUCCUUUAGGGUCAGCGUUAUACUGUCGCGCCCAUAUGGACUGGGUGGUGCACUACAUCAUGCUAGGACCCUCUCAUUAAAUGCCCAUCUGCAGUCCAUAAUUUUUGUUCUUGCAGACACAAAUUCUGGACGACUAUGAGGUCAGUCGUGUCCAUGCACAGAAUACUUAGACACGUCUAGUCCUCCAAGCGGACUAGAAAACAGUCUAACAACAGCAGCUAUGCAUCUGUGGUGUCUGCAGGUUAUUACAAUCAAAGCUUAAUGGGAGAAAUGGACCCCAACCAGGCCAGCAAAAUGCCCCUAACAGCAUAAGAGAGCUGUUGCAUCCCUUCACCGUAGGGUUCAAGGGUUCAGGCUGUUCCUCUCAUUUGUCACCCAUCUGUACAUUUUAACUCCUUUUUUUAAAAUUCCUGUUAUGUUUAAAAGGAAUCGUCUUCUGCAAAACCAAACCCAUGUCCUUGAUUAAACCACCAUAGUUCUGAUUGUGUGAAAAGGAGCCUCACACUGCGGAAGACUUAAGACUCAACUAUUUAGAUUCUUAGCAUAUUUUUUUUUUUAAACGCUUUGUCACUUGACUUGAGAAGAGAAAAAAAUGUGGAUUCAUUCUGGCACAACGCAGCUCCCAGAACUGAAAGGAAAAUGUGAAAACAAAUUGUCUGGUAUUGUUGCAUCAAGGUGAUGAUUUGCUUAAAUAUGGAUAAAUCCAAAAAAAAAAAUUUGGCAAGUUUCUCAGGCACCUUUACAUGUACUCAGUCUGAGUAAGUCUGCCACAGCACGUGUGAGUAAUAUUAACUCUCCGUUUUGAACUAAGCAGUUACAAAUCGUUGCAUGGAGAUAUGACAUUUCAGAUAUUUCAAACACCCUAAUUGAUCUGAAGCUAAAAAUAGCCGCAGUAAGACCCCAGCUAUCUCGCAGUUGGCUAGUUGCCUUUGAAAUUAUUUCCUUUUGCAUGCUGUCAUUCCACUCAAAGUCAAUUUGCUGUCGAGUCCACUGCCUCUGUAAUGGACUUCUAGGCUGACUGAUGUUGCAUGAUGUUUUUUGACAGCUGCGUUCGCCACAAAGGAAAAGGAAUCAGCGACUCCACCUGCUUGGGAGUUGCGAGCGAGCAUCGCGACGUCAGUGUCACACGGUGCCAGCGGCACCUCAAACGGAUUAAUAAUUAAUCAGAAAUCACUCUUCGCUUUAUUUAUUGUUUGUGUGAUCAACAAAUUAGGCGACGAAACCCGUCUAAUUUCAGCUGUCUCUUCUUGUUAGGACUCUGGAGAGUUAUUGCAAAACUCCACAAACAUUCAAAGUGUUUUGUGUGCAGCUGCUGAUGGGCGACACCGAUGAUGUCUGCUCUGUCUUUUUUAUAUUUUGGAAAAGCGUUGGGUCAGUUAGGGUUUAAAUAUUCCUCCUGUGCACCGUCUGAAGUGUGCUCAGAUCGUCCUUGUUUAAUCCAGCUCAUGAACUUGAUGAUCCGCCCGCUCUGCCUCUUAUCUAAAGCGAGUGUCUGCUUUAUUAGAGAGGAGAUGUUAUAUUUGAGUAUAUAAGUAUUGCUGACUUCUCACCGACAGACACGAGGGCUGUGAAGUGCCGAAUGACAAACACUCGCCCGUGUUUGUCCCGCUGCUGUCUGUGCAUUGUCUGCAGUCGCACAAAAUGAAACUAAACAUGGAUGUUUGGUUCUCACAACCAUAUCUGGCCCCUUUUCCCUGCAUGCUUAAUGUUCCAUCUGAUCAGUGAACGGUAGUACACAAAGACCCUCUGCUGGUGCUCUGUGGUAUUACACCAGGCGAUGAGUUGAGAUGCUGUGCACAUUUACUGACGUGAAACUGUUUGUAUUCUCUUAUUUCACUUAACAUUAAGUAUUUUAUUGUAAUGUCAACAUUGCUGGUGGGAGUUUGGUUUGGGGAGCUCACACAAAACACAAACAAACCCUCGGGGCUCCCACAAGAGGCGUGCUUCACUGUAGGGAAAUUUUAGUAAUUUUAAUAAUCAAUGUCGUUUUGAAUAAAAAAGACCUUUAAGGCAUGACUUGUCGUAGUCUCAAGGCCCUGUGUCAGUAUUUCAGUUGUUGUUUUUUUUGUUGCUUAUAUAAUUAAUACUCCAAAAUAAAGUAUUCAACUUCGUACGAGUGAACAAAUUGGUGACAACGGAGAAGCUCCUCCUACGUAAAGUUAAGGCUCAGCUGCUGCAGAAGGAUCAGCCGGCCAGAUACUUGCUGACACAAGGGCUUGAUGUCUGCUUUACUGGAUUACUGUGUCUUUUCGUUCCUUGUGCAGCGUCGCGCUCUCGGAUGUCUCGGCAGAAACAUCUGACGCCUCGCUUUAUUUGUGAUAUUCCAAUAAAUCUCGUUCUCCCUC